CGUAACACAGAUAAGCAUGUUCUUGUGGACAGGUGAGUAUGAGCUGAGGAGGAUCAGCUGCAAGUGAAGAGAAAUACAGUGAAAGAGCAGAUCUAAUAUUCAGAUUAUGGACCCAAAUAGUAGGCAGUCAAAAGGUGGACAGUGUAGGGGGAGAAGGAUGGUCUUCAGGUUUCACAAACCCUAAGUGGAAUUUAAAUACGUCUAUUGACUGUCCAUUCAUUCAUCCAUCCAAUACCUACCACAACCUACUAUGUGUUCUGAUGCUAUACUGGAGGUGUGCCAAGCCCAAAUUCUGUCAGCAGAGCCAGGGUUUCUAAAUACAAGUCAGAAUAGGAUGAAAUAAGGAAACUGCUAUUUGUUAAACAUAACAUUAGGCACUUUCAAACUGAGUAUUUAAUUUAAUUCUUGAAACAUUCCUGUAGAUAUUAUUACCCUUGAUUCUGAAGAAGGGCAAAAAGAGCACAUUUCAUGGAAGGAGGAUAGAGUAAAACCAGAGUGAAGUUGAUCAUCUGUGAAACCUACACGUAAUAUAACCUCUGAGUCUCUGCUUCCUUAUCUGUAAAAUAGACCUGUCUUUGAGGAUAGUUGUAAGGAGGAAAUUGCAUUAAAUGGCAAAUACUAAAGUCCCCAGCAUUUAACACCUGGCAACUGUGUAAGUGUGUGUCUUCUACAUUCCCAUCGGAAGUCUUACAGGAGGAGGUGCCCAAGAGACUGGCAGAACAAGGACUGAAGCCUGGCCAGGAUCACACACAAUUAUCCCACCCUGGGAAAAGCAAGCAUGGGUCAUUCUUGCUGCAGGUAACCUGCCUUAGAAAUCCAGAGCUCAGCCACCAAUCCAGGGGGCCUGGAAAACCAAGGCAGGAGUGAAUUAAAAGCAGAUUAGUCAUUAGCAAAAGCAGGAUCCCAGUCACUGGAACCAAGUUGCAAUGAUAGGGAAGAACUGGUCAGAUGACUGGUCAGAUGGCCCAGCAUUUCAGCAGAACCUGGAGUAUCAGCCCCUGAGAAGAAGGAAGUCAGAAUUCAUUGCUCCCAUAUGCCCAUCUCCAGCAGUUAGGGCACUCGGUUCUUCCUUCUAUGACUCAGCAACUACUCAGCUGUUUGAUCUGCCUCCAGCCUUGUUUCUCAGACCCCAGGGACUGACUGUCUAUGUUUGUGAUGCUGUCUUCUCCCCGCUGAUGUCAGCUAGGUUCACAGUAAGCUCACUCAAUACUGAGUCAUCCAAACUCAAAGGCCCCUAGGACUGCCUGAUGAAUCACCAGACCUCUGGAAGGCUGAGCCUACCAGUGGAAGAAGUGGUCCUAGAUGGGGAAAGAAGUAACUGGAGAUACAGAGUACCAGGCACUUCCUUCAGGGAUCCCCUAACCACUGCAGAACAUGGUGUUUCCUGAGACACAGCACCCUCCCCUCCAAAAUGAACUACCUGCACUUGAAUCCUUGUGUCCAGGGGUGCCAGCUAGCUUCCCUUCGGUUAAUAUACUUGUUCCCUUUUCUCUGUCUUCUGUUGGAUUGAUAAUGUUUUUGAUCUUCCUGUUUCUCCCUUCUGCUUGUUCAGAAGCUAUAGAUUCUGGGGUACCUGAGUGGCUCAGUUGGUUAAGUGUCCGACUUCGGCUCAGGUCAUGAUCUCACGGUUCGUUAGUUCGAGCCCUGUGUCAGGAUCUGUGCUGACAGCUUGGAGCCUGGAACUGCUUUGGAUUCUGUGUCUCCUCUCUCUCUGCCGCUCCCCUGCUCACACUCUCUC